rnacentral:rRNA from 1 species
AUACGGAGGGUGCAAGCGUUACUCGGAAUCACUGGGCGUAAAGCGCGCGCAGGCGGCUUGAUAAGUUGGAUGUGAAAGCCUACGGCUCAACCGUAGAACUGCAUCCAAAACUGUCAAGCUAGAGUCUGGGAGGGGAAGAUGGAAUUAGUUGUGUAGGGGUAAAAUCCGUAGAGAUAACUAGGAAUACCAAAAGCGAAGGCGAUCUUCUGGAACAGUACUGACGCUGAGGCGCGAAAGCGUGGGGAGCAAACGGGAUUAGAAACCCCGGUAGUCC